GAUCAGGUGGCCGAGUGGUUAAGGCGAUGGACUGCUAAUCCAUUGGGGUUUCCCCGCGUGAGUUCCGGUUAAGGCGAUGGACUGCUAACCUAAUGGGGUUUCCCCGCGUGAGUUCGAAACUCAUCCUGAUCG
rnacentral:tRNA from 1 species